UUCCUUCCCAAGAAGGCUGUGCACCUUGUGUUCCCCACACUGCAACCAAGAUGUCAGAUAAAGCCAUCGAGGCGGAGAAGGGUUUACAGCUGACACCCUCCUUCAGGAGUCCCAGUCAGAUGAUGAGG